GACGUAGGAGACAAACGUUAUCCGGAGUUACUGGGCGUAAAGGGCGUGUAGGCGGUUUGUUAAGGUCGGCGUGAAAGCUACUGGCUAAACCGGUAGAGGUCGUCGGCGACUGGCAGGCUGGAGGGUGAUAGAGGUGGGUGGAAUUCCGGGUGUAGUGGUGAAAUGCGUAGAGACCCGGAGGAACACCAGUGGCGAAGGCGACCCACUGGAUCACACCUGACGCUGAAACGCGACAGCAUGGGGAGCGAACGGG
rnacentral:rRNA from 1 species